rnacentral:rRNA from 1 species
AGGCAGCAGUGGGGAAUAUUGCACAAUGGGGGAAACCCUGAUGCAGCGACGCCGCGUGAGCGAAGAAGUAUUUCGGUAUGUAAAGCUCUAUCAGCAGGGAAGAAAAUGACGGUACCUGACUAAGAAGCCCCGGCUAACUACGUGCC